GCCGGGGUGGCGGAAUUGGUAGACGCACGGGACUUAAAAUCCCGGGAGCCUCAGGCUCGUACCGGUUCGAUCCCGGUCCUCGGCA
rnacentral:tRNA from 1 species